UACAGAGGGGGCAAGCGUUAUUCGGAAUUAUUGGGCGUAAAGCGCACGUAGGCGGCUUGGUAUGUCGGGUGUGAAAUCCCCGGGCUCAACCUGGGAACUGCAUCCGAAACUGCCUUGCUCGAGUAUGGGAGAGGGAAGUGGAAUUUCCGGUGUAGCGGUGAAAUGCGUAGAUAUCGGAAGGAACAUCAGUGGCGAAGGCGACUUCCUGGACCAAUACUGACGCUCAGGUGCGAAAGCGUGGGGAGCAAACAGG
rnacentral:rRNA from 1 species